rnacentral:rRNA from 1 species
AGCGAACGCUGGCGGCAGGCCUAACACAUGCAAGUCGAACGAACCUUUCGGGGUUAGUGGCGGACGGGUGAGUAACACGUGGGAACGUGCCCUUAGGUUCGGAAUAACUCAGGGAAACUUGUGCUAAUACCGAAUGUGCCCUUCGGGGGAAAGAUUUAUCGCCUUUAGAGCGGCCCGCGUCUGAUUAGCUAGUUGGUUGAGGUAAUGGCUCACCAAGGCGACGAUGAGUAGCUGGUCUGAGAGGAUGAUCAGCCACAGUGGGACUGAGACACGGCCCAAACUCCUACGGGAGGCAGCAGUGGGGAAUCUUGCGCAAUGGGCGAAAGCCUGACGCAGCCAUGCCGCGUGAAUGAUGAAGGUCUUAGGAUUGUAAAAUUCUUUCACCGGGGACGAUAAUGACGGUACCCGGAGAAGAAGCCCCGGCUAACUUCGUG